rnacentral:lncRNA from 10 species
CCUGAGCACCCGGAAAGAAAGGAAUUCCUAUAAAUACACAGAGAGUAGAAAGAAUUUACCAAAGGCCAGUUAAGAGUGAUGGAAAAUACAGACAUCCUAAUUUUGAGAGGCCAAUUAAACAUUCAGGUAAAGAGGGGCAACUAUAUCCUGAAUUAAAGGUAGGGAUUCAGAUAAAUAUUUAAAUUUAGGGAAUUUUCAGCAUACAAAUGGUACCAAAACCAUAAGAAUGAAAGAUCACUCAUUCAUUAAGAAUGAGAAAAGAGGAGGGAUUUGAGGUCUGAGCCUUGGGCAUUCCAAAGUUAAGAAGUGAGGUUACGAAGAAGAACCAGGAAUGGAAAAUGAAAAGGAAAAGCCAGUGAAGUCAAAGACAAACUUCUGUACAAGGGCUGAAGACAGGACAAGAUGUGCUGAUGUAUAAAAAGUCUAAAUCUGCAGCAUAAUCGUGAAGAGAUGAGGAAAGCCACGUACUCAGAGCCUCACUUAAAGGAAAUGAAACAGUAAAACUGAAUCAGAUUUGGCUCUUCACUUCUGCCUUCAGUGCUGUCCAGACUCAGACAUUAUAUCAGUAGGUUUCAGUUUUACUAACCAAUAAGUUCUUUGUGUACUUAAAGUUGGUUGUUUUUUAAUGGGGAUGUGGAAUGGAGGGGUAAAUAUUUUGUGUUUUUUAAUGAGGAAUCCCAAACACUAGAGUUUUUUCUUUAUAUUGCAAAGGCACUGAUGCCCCUUCUCACAAAAUAUUUCAUGCUUCAGUAUUGGCCUAAAGUUGACUAUCUUUAUAUAAAUUAAAAUCUUCUCAUGUUUUAGUGGUGUUUUAGAAGAUCUUGACAUGUUACUUUUUGAAUUAAAGUGAAACGCAUAGCAUAUGGACUCAACAAAACCAUUCUCUGUGAAUAAAAUGUGUCACAUUCUAUAAUAAAACUAUAUAUAGCAUGUUAUUCCAUAUUCUGUAUGAUUAAUUUUAGAGAUUAUAUCUUGAAUUCUGCUAUCAAUCUACAAUGUUUAUUCAUUCAUUCAACAAAUAUUUGUUAAGAACUACUAUGUGUCAAGUACCUAGUUUGCAACAGUGAAUAAACAGAUAUUCUUGAGUUUGUGAAGUUUAUUAUAUUCAAGAGACAGAAAUAUAGAUAGUACACAAUUAACAUAACACCUAAGAAAAGAAUUUAAUAUGUAAUAAGAUCAUAAGUACAAUGAGAAAAAAUGCAUCACAGUAAGGAGACUGGGGAGAGUUUGCAAUGUGAAUCAUGUGGUCAGAGUGAGUCUCAUUGAAAAGUUAACAUUAGAACAAAGACUGGGAGAAGACGCAGUUGUGAGUCAUCUGUGUUCUGCAGCGGGAACGGCAAGUACAAAGGCUCUGAGGAAGGAGGGCGCCUGGAGUGUUUGCAGCAGUGUGAGGAGGUCAGCUUAAAAGUAGAAAUGAGAAGAAGAAUAGAUGAUAGGAUCAGCUGGCUAUGCAAUUUGCAGUGCAAAAUAAAUUUGUGGGGACUCUUGUUAAAAUUUCUUUCUCUUUUUUUAUUAUACUUUAAGUUCUGGGGUACGUGUGCACAACAUGCAGGUUUGUUACAUAGGUAUACAUGUGCCGUGUUGGUUUGCUGCACCCAUCAACUCAUCAUUUACAUUAGGUAUUUCUCCUAAUGCUAUCCCUCCC